rnacentral:lncRNA from 1 species
CCGGAAAAAGAAGAGAGAGAUAGAGGAAGAUGAGAGUAUGAAUGAAACAAGUGAAGUGACUGUUUUAUUUAUGUAGGAUUUUUUUUUUAUCAAAAAAUAUAAACAAAAAAAUGAAACUGGCCAUUCUUACUUUAAAUUGACAUAUAUAUAUAUAUAUAGGAAUCUUGCUUUUCAAAUAUUGAAUUAUAAGCCCCCUCCAGACAACUUUUGUAUAAUAGAUCGAUAUCAGAGAAUCCCAUAAUUUUAAAAUAUAAAUCUAAGUUUGACAUGAUGGUAUUUCUAUAAAUCUUAUUGUUGAGUUAGACAGUUACCCUAUAUCCUAAACUUUAUUGAUAUGUUUUGAGUAUUGAGUUUGAGACCCACAUUACACAUCUCAUAUGUUUGAUUUUCUAGACGUAUAUAUAUAUAUAUAUAUUUUAUUUUCUAGACGUAUAUGUGUUCAGAAAUUGACUAGCUAAAUAAUUACUAACCUUUUUUUUUUUUUUUUUUUUGAAUGAAUGCUAAAUUUAUUUAUCAAAAAAACCUAUUUACAUCAAGUGGGUCUUUUGUGAAAAGAAAUAAGAUCCUAACUCUUUACAUAAGA